CUAUCUAUCUAUCUAUCUAUAUUUAAGGUGCUCCAUUUGGAGGAAAUAAACAAAAUGAACACAUACACUUGCAAACCCUGUUGUUUUUUCUACAACAGAAAAUGUUCCGUGCUUGUUUUUAUACACCAUCAUGCUUUUAGUUAUGACUGUCUGUUUAAAAGUCAACACUUAAGCAGAGACAGCUGACUGGUGGAGUCCUAGGGGGCAGUAUCCCUUCAGCAAGUUGAUUUUAAGCUCCUUGAUCAGUUACAAGCACCAACCAACAGAGAGGAAUGAAUGAUAUAUUGACAAAGACAAAAUAACAGUAAGCAAAAUCCCUGUUUGAAAUGUAUUUCAUCUAAGGAUUAUUAGAACCAUUUUACUGUUCUCCAUUCUGUAAAUUUAUCAUAUACAAUUCUUUAACUCGCUAAAGUAUCCCACAGAUUAUUUUUUUUAAAUCUCCAAACAUGUUUGCCAUGAUUUUUUUUUUUUCCUUUCCCCCCCACUUAUUCUAGAUCUAAUGCAUCAAAUGAAAACUUGGACAAAUGAAACCCCCUGUCUGGGUUUGAUCAUGUUUUUAUCUAUUGUUCUUGUCUUCAGCUUCUGGCCACUGAGAUCGGUGUUGUUUCAACACAGAUUACCAAAGCUGAGCACAUCAAAAGAAAAAGGCACAUAGUUUCCCACACCACACACCUGGAUUUUGGGGGCCAGACCUCGUACUGUGGUACAGGGUUUUCUGGGCUCGAGCGCUGGAGCAGAGGAUCCUAGAGUGGUGCAGAUGGCACAUCAGGUGAAGGAAGUGCUACCCGAUGUCCCCCUGAGUGUUAUCACUAGAGAACUGUUGCAACACACUGUGUAGAUACAACUGUUUCCUGCAGAAGCUGCACCAUCAGGCCCAUCAUGACCUUUAACCUCCACUACUCCUUCUGUUGCUGGUUCAUCACCGACUCUAAAGUUUCACAGUACACCUGUGACAACACUGAAGAAGAAGAAUUCGAACGGCGUUGCUGCUCAGCUGGAGAGACGCCAUCGCGCUGGAAGGUGACUCAGCACGUGUACGUCAUGGAAACGUCUGUGAAAGAGCGGAGCAUCUGAUAAAUGCCAUGUUCCUUUUUUAUAGAUGGAACGAUAUUAGUUUUUAAAUGACAGUCUUCCUUACCAAUAAACAACGUCCAUUUGAUGAAUCUUCAACAGUCGAAACCCCGUCAUGUUUGUUGGUGCUGUCUUGGCUUGGAGCAAGCAGACCUGCAGAGAGCUUUUAAAAACCCAGUUAAAAAUUAUAUAAAACACAGAUCCAUUCAUGGCUCAUUUGUUCACAUUUGAUCGGCAGUUAACUAUUUGUCAGGUACUGAAUAAAACCCAUAUUCUGUUUAUUAUAGUUUAUUCCAGAUACAUGCAUACCAUGUGUGUAAAAACAGAAGCAGUACCGUCAUGCCCUUCUUUAGAGAUUUUAUAUCAAUUAGUUUCACUUGUCCAUUUGGUCUUACUGUAUUAAUAUUUACAUGGGGCAUCUACACUUAAAUUUCACUUAUGCUUUGCACAGGAUAAUAAAAUACAUUAAAAAGGCAUUUGGGAUAAACACUGUGUACAUGGACUUUUUGAUAAUGCUCUAAAAUGAUUAGCAAAAGGCCACUUCAUAACCAUGCUUGCAAAUCAGAAAAUACUGCAUGAGUCCAGGAUUGAUUAGGACACUUUCCCCUGGUUUCACAGAUGAAGCUUAAGCCUAGUACCAGACUAAGAUGUAUGUUUGAGCUGUUUUAACUGAAAGCUACUUGCACGGACGAAUCUUAAAUUAUCAGCGCCAUUGUUUUAUCUCCAGAUGCACACCAGUUUCUAAGGCACGUUUAUAAAAGCCACUUAAAUGUCCUAAUUGAUCGAAGGCCUGAUCCUGGCUUAAUGUAA